rnacentral:misc_RNA from 1 species
UUAGUUGAGUUGAGUUGAGUAUACUGCAUCUAGAAGUGAGGAAAUCAUGCAUCCAGUGACAUUAACAUCCUUAACAAUUUCAUUUCCUAUCACAAAUAUACAAAAAUCUUUAUAGCUCAGUCAUGUGUCUAAUGUAAGGCUGCCAGCACCACCAUCACUGCCACCACCACCAAUGUCUUCUGCUUCAUAGCAAUAUUUCAUUAAGGCUACCACAACUUCAGAAAAAUUUUCUGCUACUGAUUAUCCUCCAACUCAAUCAACUUUAAAAGCAAUAGAAUCUUCACCUUACCAUUAUCCUGAAAAAUUAUCAGAUAGAAG